rnacentral:rRNA from 1 species
GACGUAGGGCGCAAGCGUUGUCCGGAUUUACUGGGCGUAAAGCGCACGUAGGCGGGUUGUUAAGUCAGGGGGUGAAAUCCUGGAGCUCAACUCCAGAACUGCCUUUGAUACUGGCAACCUAGAGGCUGGAAGAGGUUAGUGGAAUUCCCAGUGUAGAGGUGAAAUUCGUAGAUAUUGGGAAGAACACCAGUGGCGAAGGCGGCGACCUGGGCCAAUAUUGACGCUGAGGUGCGAAAGCGUGGGGAGCAAACAGG